CUACGGGUCGCUGCAGUGAGGAAUAUUGCACAAUGGGGGGAACCCUGAUGCAGCAACGCCGCGUGGAGGAUGACGCAUUUCGGUGUGUAAACUCCUUUUAUAUGUCAAGAAAAUGACGGUAGCAUAUGAAUAAGCACCGGCUAACUCCGUGCCAGCAGCCGCGGUAAUAGGGAGGGUGCAAGCGUUACUCGGAAUCACUGGGCGUAAAGGACGCGUAGGCGGGUUGGAAAGUCAGGUGUGAAAUCCUACAGCUUAACUGUAGAACUGCACUUGAAACUUCUAAUCUAGAGUAUGGGAGGGGGAGAUGGAAUUAGUGGUGUAGGGGUAAAAUCCGUAGAUAUCACUAGGAGUACCUAAAGCGAAGGCGAUCUCCUGGAACAUUACUGACGCUAAGGCGUGAAAGCGUGGGGAGCAAACAGGAUUAGAUACCCCAGUAGUC
rnacentral:rRNA from 1 species